CGGAAAACAUUGUUCUUCUUCUCCAAAGCUGAAUCCAUUCCCAAAACUCGCCAAAUUUCAGGCGAGUGAAACCCAAACUCGCACCUCGCGUUUUCCCCUUUCUCCUCCUACCAUAUUACAACUGUUUCCGACAGAUUCCCUUUCCCUCACAUGCUUCUUCGAUUUAUCUAGGAUUUUUUCACCCUUCAGAUGAAAAUAAGGAAAAAUAGGGAGCGUUAGAUUGGAUUUGAGCUAAUCUACUCCCUCCAUUUAUCCCUCUUUCAUUAGAAACGGGGUAAAAAAUCAGUUUGGGAGAGGAUUUUUUGUUUUGGGAAUUUUCUUGAAGAGGAAGGAAGAAGAUUCGAGAAGAUACGAAAGUCUAUAUAAGGUGAAGACCUUUUCUUGUGUAGGGGGAUUGUUUUUUUGGGGAAAGAAUUGGUCAGAGAGAAUUUUCGAGAGAAAGUUUGAUAAAUAUUAAGGUUCUUCUUAAUCUUCUUUCACAUUCUUUUUCCUUCCAGAAAACGCAAAACAAAAAAAUGAUUCUGUUUUGUUUUUGAUUAAUUGGUAACGUGAGAUUUUAGGUUGGUUUAAGUGACAAUUACAAAAAAAAAACCGUUUCUUCAUUUUUUAUUUUGGUUCUGGUGGUCAAAAUCAUGGGAGUUGAUUGAGGUGCUCAAGUUCGAGUUUCGUCGUCGAGUUCAUUUUGAUUGAAGUUGUGGUUUCUCUAUUAUCUGUUGGUGUAACUGCUGAAAUCUCCUUGUCAUUAGGAUUUGUUUCUUCAGGUUCAUCCCUUCCCUCUUCUAUUUACUUGUUGUUUAUGGUGAAUAGAAACCUUGAAAAAGCCAUUUAAAGUGAGGUUAUUGUUACACUUAGUUGCUUAACCUGAUGGGCCAGUCCAUGAGAUUUUUAAGACAAUGGAAAAUCAGUUUUAACUUGAUCUUGUCAUGGUGUGGUUCAUUUUAAUUUGUUACGCGUUCGUAAAUCUGAGGCUAUAAGUUCGUUUCAGAUUGUUUAGCCUCUACUGAUUUGUCUAUGAGUUCUUUGUUGUUUGCUGGUAAUCGUUUUCAGACUUUUAUGCACAUUAGAAGAUUCAAAUGAUCCUUUCUGCAUUGGAUUGUUUUCGUUGGCUAUUAGGCUUGGAUUGACGCAAAUAAUUUUGUUGGCAGUAGUUGAUUUUUUCAUUGGAUAUUAAGUUUGGAUGAUUUGUUUUUAGUGUAAUGGGCAGUAAGGAGAUUCACAACUCCAUCUCCAUAUCUUCAUGACUUUGUUUCACCUCUGAGAAUAACUACACUACUAUACUUCAUAAAACAAUUUGUCAGAUUGCGUUAUUCGUAUUUUUCAA
rnacentral:lncRNA from 1 species